CUGGAACUGGCUCUGAGAAAACGUCGCCAAGGAAAGCGGGCUGUUGCCGGAACCAAUUAGGCUCUCGCCAGCAGGCAGAGUUUCAGCCCCUGUUCUUUCCGGCCUGUUCUCUCUGGCCCUUCUGUCUCUUUUUCUCCCCCCCUACCCACCCAUCCACCCCCUCCCUUGGCUUCCCUCUCAAAGCCUUUUCUCUGCUCUUCCUCCCGUUCCUCCCCGCCUCCAGGAUCUCAAUUGCCUCUCCGCGCCUUUCCUUGUCGGAGCUUGUUUUGGGCAACGCGGAGUUAUUACUUUGCCAUGCCUUGAGCUACACAGCUAAGACAUUUGCAGAAUCACUGAAGAAAGAGACGAGGGAUUUAGGUCAAGCACUCAAAUCUUAUAGCCCAGAGUUCCUGAACCUGGUACCCACCAGAUGUCCUAGAACACGCCAUUCGGAACUAGGAAUUUUAUGGGGACUACCUUGGGAGAUGCCACCUGGGAGAAAAUGGUGACCAUCCCAUCUCACUGCCAGCCUUCCUCCAUACCACUUGAUCUGGGGAAUAAAUGAAGCCACAGCAGUUA